rnacentral:misc_RNA from 1 species
AUUCUUGUAAAAUUCUAGUUUCCAGGCAAGGGGUAAUAGAUAUGGAAGUUUGAAACUUGAGCUGUGUAGAUUAUUUUCAUAUGAAAGGCUUUUAACAAAUUGGAUGGAGCAAUAGUAACAUUGCUUAGUAAGAUCUAACUAUAACUUGUUUCCUCGUGAUAUAAAAUUACAAAAUGUUGAGUGAAUGCAUAUUCUUUUUGUCGAAAGCCAAAAAGAGUCAAAUUGUGAGUAGAAAGACCUAUUUAAGAUUGAAAAGAAAAAAAAAAAUAAUGAAUAAACUAUAUAAAUAUUUUUUUGGUAGAUGACUUGAUUGUCUAGCUUCUUGUCUUUCAGUUUUACAUGCUUAGGUAGUUAGGUGUUAGAAUAGGAAGUCUUUAUUGCUUUGGUUUUGAUAAUAUAAAGUGAAAGAAUUUGAAAGCCAUAUAUAAUGAUAAUGUUGGCAUUUUCAUAUACAAUAGGUAAGCUCCCACUUCCCUUUCCUCAUCCCCCACCCCUCAUCGUUUAACACAAAAAACUCAGUCUCAUCCUUCUGUCUCUUCACUCAAGUGACUGAAGUCUGAGGUUUGCCGUUUUGUUCCCAUCAGCCAUUGAGGUCCAAUUUUACUUUGCACUACAGUAGCAGUUCUAAAAUUUUAUUGCCAUGUGUCUUACUAAUAAAAUGCUUGUCUUGGUCUUACUAUUUAUCAUUUACUUUGUUCAUGGUUUUCAAGUUAGUUUGAAAGAUUUAGUUGAUGGAUUAGGUUUGUCAAACAAGAAUCAGAUCCCCUCAUAUUAAAUAUUAACUGGUAUGUAAUAAUGGUAGAUUUCAAAUUUAAAGGGUGCAAUUCUUCAUAAUCCAUUGCUGGCAGUUUUUUUAGGUGAUAUAUAUCAACACCUUCGAAAUCAAAGCCCUCCCGUUUAUAACCCAAAUGAAAUAUGCCUUUUUAUGCUUUUCCCUUCUAAUAUGGGUAGUCAAUUUUGUUGGUGUUAGUCAUUAUAGUUUUGAUUCAAGUGAUUGAUUUCCAAAGUCUUCUUUUGUUUCUCAAAGAUCCAAGUUGUUCAGAUUCUGAGAGAUCAUAAAGCCAUAUAACUGUAUCCCAAAAAGGUCAUCCCAGAAUUGAAUUGGAAAAAUGAACUGAACCAGACAUUUCAGUUUGUUUAGGUUCAGUGCUCAUCUACAAUAUUGGUUCUGUUGUUUCUACACUUUAAGAAAUUUGGUUAUUUUCAUUUUCUUCAAUAUUGAAACCGAACCAACUGAUGCAUACUCCUUUGUCCAGAGAAGGGGUGAACGUGGAAAUUGUUCUAACAAGAAACAAUUGGUUUGCUAAAAUUGUUGGACUAGUCAAUAAAGAUAUCUGGCAUAUAAAAGGGGCAUGAUUUGUAACUCUUUGAUUUUUGUCUUUUUUUUUUUCAUUAAAACUUUCUUAUCUUUGGUUCUGCUCUCUUCAACUUUAACUUGGAUACUUUAGAAGGAAAUUCAGGGAAACUUACUUCAUGUGAAUAUGAUUGCUUUCAACUGGAUAUUUCUAUGGCAGAGGUUACAGACUGUCCUGGGUUGUUUUGCAUCCUUAGUUUGUACAAACAUCUGAAAUCGGAUUAAUUUCAGAAAGUUGAAGACAACCAAACAUGCAAACAGCUUCACAUCUUCAUCCAAUUUUUUACAUUUCCAACAGGUAUGGGCUCUCUGUGUGUAAAUUGUACUUUCAUGAUAUCAUCUCUUUCUUCCCGUGGCCACUUUCUAUUGUAGCUUUCCUUCUUCCUUUUGAAAUUAAAAGAAACCAAAAUUAUUUCAAUUGUAGCAUUAAUGUUUAAACAUAUUGCAGAAGAAGCCAUGUCAAGCCAAAUGGAUGGAUGGACAUUAAAACUUUGAAUUCCAGUCAACUUUGCUUCAGUGUAGGAGCUCAUACUCAUAAAUUUCUUUCACCUAAGCGACAAACCAAAUUGUUUGUGGCUCCCAACACAAAUGAUGGUCACCCUUCUGUCUCUCUGCUAGAUGAAGAAACAAAUACUAACCACGCACCUAGUUCUGAAAAAGAGACUUUCUUGAGCAAAUGGUCACCGCCUGGGUACCUUUGGAGGGGAUUAUCAGUUCUUGUCUUGGCAGGGCAGGUAGUUGUCAGGACUUUAAAGGGAAAAAUUCACUGGAGAAAUACUCUUCAACAGCUGGAGAGAGUUGGACCUAGAUCAGUUGGAGUCUGUCUCUUGACUUCUGCAUUUGUGGGCAUGGCUUUUACCAUUCAAUUUGUUAGAGAAUUCACUAGACUGGGAUUGCAAAGAUCAGUUGGUGGUGUCCUAGCACUAGCCUUUUCAAGGGAGUUGAGUCCUGUGGUCACAUCAAUCGUGGUUGCUGGGCGGAUCGGGAGUGCCUUUGCAGCAGAGUUGGGAACAAUGCAGGUUUCUGAGCAAACAGACACAUUGAGAGUUCUUGGAACAAACCCUGUUGAUUAUUUGGUGACUCCAAGAGUGAUUGCUUCUUGUUUUGCUCUACCGUUUUUGACUUUGAUGUGUUUCACAGUGGGCAUGGCAUCCAGUGCUUUACUAGCUGAUGGUGUCUUUGGCAUAAGCAUUAAUAUUAUAUUGGAUUCAGCUAGGAGAAUACUUAGAUCAUGGGAUCUAAUCAGCGCAAUGAUCAAGUCACAGGUUUUUGGUGCGAUCAUAUCAAUUGUAAGUUGUGCCUGGGGAGUUACUACUUCGGGAGGUGCCAAAGGUGUUGGGGAGUCAACAACUUCGGCUGUGGUUAUCUCACUUGUUGGUAUCUUUAUUGCUGAUUUUGCGCUAUCAUAUUGUUUCUUCCAGGGAGUUGGUGAUUCUCUGAAGAAUGCUAUGUGAUCAAUUGCGCUUCUUUGUCAGUCAUGAUAUAUGACACAAGUUUUUCUUUUUCGUUGCUUGUGUAUAUAAGUCAGAAUUGAAUCAUAAUUCACAUUUGGCCAAUCAGAAUCAGUAUUUUCAAAUGGGAAAAGAAAAGAAAAAGAAAAUACUAAUGGUCCUAGUUUUUGUGAAAUAAAUAUGCUUUAUCAAUAAUUGGUCAUCAGUUAUUUUUCUUAGCCUAUUAUUUCACAGAAACUAGGAGUUUGGAAUUGAACUUAGGUAAUGUUUGUUACUUGUUUUACAUACUUAAUUGUCCAUAAUUUCUUGAAAGUUUUAUAAUUUUGCCAUCAAGAUCAGUUCCUCCUUUUACCUAAAUGUUUUUGCAUGCAG